rnacentral:tRNA from 1 species
GAUCUCAGCUUCUUCAUAAGCUCCCACACGAAUUGCUUGAUUCACUGGUUAGACGAUUGGGUCUGUAGCUCAGUUGGUUAGAGCGCACCCCUGAUAAGGGUGAGGUCGGCAGUUCGAAUCUGCCCAGACCCACCAAUUGUUGGUGUGCUGCGUGAUCCGAUACGGGGCCAUAGCUCAGCUGGGAGAGCGCCUGCUUUGCACGCAGGAGGUCAGGAGUUCGAUCCUCCUUGGCUCCACCAUCUAAAACAAUCGUCGAAAGCUCAGAAAUGAAUGUUCGUAGAUGAACAUUGAUUUCUGGUCUUUGCACCAGAACUGUUCUUUAAAAAUUCGGGUAUGUGAUAGAAGUAAGACUGAAUGAUCUCUUUCACUGGUGAUCAUUCAAGUCAAGGUAAAAUUUGCGAGUUCAAGCGCGAAUUUUCGGCGAAUGUCGUCUUCACAGUAUAACCAGAUUGCUUGGGGUUUAAUAUGGUCA